GGACCAGUGGCGCAGCGGUUAGCGUGCCUGACUGUCACUCAGGAGGUCGCGGGUUCGAGUCCCGUCUGGUCCGCCA
rnacentral:tRNA from 1 species